GACGAACGCUGGCGGCGUGCCUAAUACAUGCAAGUCGAGCGAGCGGAACCAACAGAUUUACUUCGGUAAUGACGUUGGGAAAGCGAGCGGCGGAUGGGUGAGUAACACGUGGGGAACCUGCCCCUAAGUCUGGGAUACCAUUUGGAAACAGGUGCUAAUACCGGAUAAUAAAGCAGAUCGCAUGAUCAGCUUUUGAAAGGCGGCGUAAGCUGUCGCUAAGGGAUGGCCCCCGCGGUGCAUUAGCUAGUUGGUAAGGUAACGGCUUACCAAGGCGACGAUGCAUAGCCGAGUUGAGAGACUGAUCGGCCACAUUGGGACUGAGACACGGCCCAAAACUCCUACGGGAGGCAGCAGUAGGGAAUCUUCCACAAUGGACGGAAGUCUGAUGGAGCAACGCCGCGUGAGUGAAGAAGGUUUUCGGAUCGUAAAGCUCUGUUGUUGGUGAAGAAGGAUAGAGGUAGUAACUGGCCUUUAUUUGACGGUAAUCAACCAGAAAGUCACGG
rnacentral:rRNA from 1 species